GAUCCUGGCUCAGGAUGAACGCUAGCGACAGGCUUAACACAUGCAAGUCGAGGGGCAGCACAGGUAGCAAUACCGGGUGGCGACCGGCGCACGGGUGAGUAACGCGUAUGCAACUUACCUACCAGAGGGGAAUAACCCGGCGAAAGUCGGACUAAUACCGCAUGAAGCAGGGGCCCCGCAUGGGGAUAUUUGCUAAAGAUUUAUCGCUGAUAGAUAGGCAUGCGUUCCAUUAGGCAG
rnacentral:rRNA from 1 species